rnacentral:lncRNA from 1 species
CAAGGGAAGAAAACCUAUUAGCAACUGAAAUUGGUGUUGCAACUGAAAUUGGGGGGCAACCAGGAUAUGGAACUAUAUGUUUAGGCAAUUCUGGCUUUGGUUGACUCAUGGAAGAGGGGAGGACUCUGAGCGACUGUGAUGACUUCGGCGACUGGGAUGACUUAGGUUGACUGGCAGAUUCUUUUUGUUUAUCUUUUUUGGGAGCCAUUGUGCAUCCUGCAAGAAUUCUC